UCAAAAACAUGUCCUUUUGUUAAUAAUUUAAGGUCUGACCUGCCCAAUGAAUAUUUAAAUGGCCGCAGUAUUUUGACUGUGCAAAGGUAGCAUAAUCAUUAGUUUUUUAAUUGUAACCUUGAAUGAAUGGUUUGAUGAGAAAAUAACUGUCUCAGUUUAAUUGUUUUAGAAUUUUAAUUUUAAGUGAAAAAGCUUAAAUUUUUAAGGAAGACGAGAAGACCCUAUAGAGUUUAAUAAUUUUUUAUUAUGGUUGGUUUUAGAUUUAUUUAAAAUUUUGAUACAAAAUUAUUUUGUUGGGGUGACAUUAAAAUUUAAUAAACUUUUAAUUUAUUAUAACAUUUUUUUUGAUUAUUUGAUCCUAAUUUUUAGAUUAUAAGAUAAAAUUACCUUAGGGAUAACAGCGUAAUUUUUUUUAAAAUUCUUAAUCAAAAAAAAAGUUUGCGACCUCGAUGU
rnacentral:rRNA from 1 species